UGACAAAGCACUGACUGGGAUGACUUUAGGUGGCAUAAUUUGGGGAUUGAUCCUACUCUGAGCAGUGGGGUUGGACUAGAUGAUCUCCUGAGGUCCCUUCCAACCCUGGUAUUCCAUGAUU